UUAUCGGCAGUUGGUGAAAUAUGGUCCU
rnacentral:sRNA from 1 species